GACGAACGCUGGCGGCGUGCUUAACACAUGCAAGUCGAACGGAAAGGCCCUGCUUUUGUGGGGUGCUCGAGUGGCGAACGGGUGAGUAACACGUGAGUAACCUGCCCUUGACUUUGGGAUAACUUCAGGAAACUGGGGCUAAUACCGGAUAGGAGCUCCUGCUGCAUGGUGGGGGUUGGAAAGUUUCGGCGGUUGGGGAUGGACUCGCGGCUUAUCAGCUUGUUGGUGGGGUAGUGGCUUACCAAGGCUUUGACGGGUAGCCGGCCUGAGAGGGUGACCGGCCACAUUGGGAAUGAGAUACGGCCCAGACUCAGACGGGAGGCAGGAGUGGGGAAUAUUGCACAAUGGGCGGAAGCCUGAUGCAGCAACGCCGCGUGCGGGAUGACGGCCUUCGGGUUGUAAACCGCUUUCGCCUGUGACGAAGCGUGAGUGACGGUAAUGGGUAAAGAAGCACCGGCUAACUACGUG
rnacentral:rRNA from 1 species